UGAGGAAUAUUGGUCAAUGGACGCAAGUCUGAACCAGCCAAGUAGCGUGCAGGAUGACGGCCCUAUGGGUUGUAAACUGCUUUUAUAUGGGGAUAAAGUGGGGAACGUGGUUCCCUUUUGCAGGUACCAUAUGAAUAAGGACCGGCUAAUUCCGUGCCAGCAGCCGCGGUAAUACGGAAGGUUCGGGCGUUAUCCGGAUUUAUUGGGUUUAAAGGGAGCGUAGGCCGUUUGGUAAGCGUGUUGUGAAAUGUAGGAGCUCAACUUCUAGAUUGCAGCGCGAACUGUCAGACUUGAGUGCGCACAACGUAGGCGGAAUUCAUGGUGUAGCGGUGAAAUGCUUAGAUAUCAUGAAGAACUCCGAUUGCGAAGGCAGCUUACGGGAGCGCAACUGACGCUGAAGCUCGAAGGUGCGGGUAUCGAACAGGAUUAGAUACCCUGGUAGUCCGCACAGUAAACGAUGGAUGCCCGCUGUUAGCACCUAGUGUUAGCGGCUAAGCGAAAGCAUUAAGCAUCCCACCUGGGGAGUACGCCGGCAACGGUG
rnacentral:rRNA from 1 species